GGGCCCUUAGCUCAGCUGGUUAGAGCAGCGGACUCAUAAUCCGACGGUCGCAGGUUCGAGCCCUGCAGGGCCCACCA
rnacentral:tRNA from 1 species